GAUGUGUAAGAUAAUCCAUGA
rnacentral:misc_RNA from 1 species